rnacentral:rRNA from 1 species
CGGGGCCUACGGGAGGCAGCAGUGAGGAAUAUUGGUCAAUGGGAGAGAUCCUGAACCAGCCAAGCCGCGUGAGGGAAGACGGCCCUAUGGGUUGUAAACCUCUUUUGUCGGAGAACAAAACCCGGGACGUGUCCCGGACUGCGUGUAUCCGAAGAAAAAGCAUCGGCUAACUCCGUGCCAGCAGCCGCGGUAAUACGGAGGAUGCGAGCGUUAUCCGGAUUUAUUGGGUUUAAAGGGUGCGUAGGCGGAUCGUUACGUCAGUGGUCAAAUUGAGGGGCUCAACCCCUUCCCGCCAUUGAAACUGG